UGCAGCAGUUGGUGGAGGGUUCCUACCCAUCUGGAUCUCUCUUUUUCCUUCUCUCCUCCCUCCUCUGAGAGGGUGGCCCUGUCCUGGGGAGACAGCUUUCUUUUUGACCCUUGCCUGUUUUUGAUUAACCUCUGGGUUUCUGUUUUGGCAAUCUCCAGCUCUUACUUGCUCCAAAGGAUUAAAGUAAUUUUUUUGAUUAUUUUUUGGUUUAAGAAGAAAAAAAAAAUCCUAUUAUUUCAGGAACUGAAAGCUUUAAGAAUCUGGAUUAUUUUCUGUGGUUUUCAUUUCACUGCACCUAAUACCUGCUUUAAUGUGUUUCCUCUCAAGAGGCUCUUACUGGUUUACUUCUUGUCUUAGUUUCUGCUCACUCUAGUUCAAGGCCACUGCAGUGCAGAGGCAGAUUUCAUCCUUUCUCUGCACAUUAUCCUGUGCAUUCAGCAGGAAACAGAUUUUCUAAUUAAAUUCUGAGCUCAUUUAUUGAAGGAGCAGUCUCCUUCCUUUCAGAGAAAAGAGGGUGUUUAAGGUAGAGAGAGGAGACACCAGAGCUCUUUCAAGAGAGACUGGGGGAGGAGGGAAGGGAAAAAACCCCUUAUUCUUUGAAUGAAACAAACAAACACACCCUAAAUUCAGAGCAAAAUAUCCCCAGAGCAGCAAAUCGAGUCCAUGCUGAUGUGUGGAGACAACAGGAGCUUUUGCCAUGUAAAAGCCAAAAGAAGUGAAGAGAGGAUCUGUGUGCCCCAGCACAGUUUUAGCCUGUGCAUCGCUGCAGGGAGUUUCUGCUCACACAGACAGACUCCAAAUGCUCCUGGAAAGCCUGGCACCCCUGUCCUGGAGCACCUGAGGACAGAGUGUUGUCUGCUCACAGAGGAAUUCCUGCAACAUCUCGCCACAGAUGGAGAUGGACUUGGACUUUGUGACUUCUUCCAUGUUGAGACAGGAAACGCUCAGCACUCACCUUUGGCCAGUGCUUGAUGACAGGACUGAGAGAAGCAAGACGUUCCUGAAGUUUGGCUCUCCAAAGCUUCCCGAGGCUGGACACAUCUUGGGCAUCAUCUGCAUCCACCUCCAGACCAAAUAAACAGCGGGGAUGCAGCAGCAGGCGUGGCCCUGGGAUGCUCCUGGCACCGCCACAGCAGUGACAUGUGGCCCUGGUGGCUCGGAAGGCCUUUGCUGUGACUCCUUCCAAGAGGCUGAAGUGACUCACUCAGAUCCUCCUCUGAGAAGGAAUCACUUCACAUCAUGCAGCAUUUGGGAGGAAAGCCACAGAAAAAAGCUGCAAAACGAAGGCCUCAACAUCAGACCUGCUCUCAGGACCCUCAGCCACCAACAGCCAGAUCCACCACCUGAAGGAAAGACUGGCACAGCAAUCCCUGCUGCUGUUGCUGAGAUUCCUUCUCUGUGUCCAAGAGCUCUCCCAGGGGAGAAGAAAGUGCUGCAGGAAGACAGAGGGCAAACCAUGCACCAAAGAGCCUCCCAUGCAGUGCAAUGCAAACAUUCAAGGUGCUGAGAGCCAGAAUGAAACUGGGAAGCUGCUUCCAGCAGGACAAAGAAAAGCCUGAGCUGGUCCAGGUACUCCAAGUGCUGAGAAUGGAAAGAGAGGCCAGAACAGAAGAACCAAGUCCAGGCUUUGGGGACAGCAGGGAUGCUGACUGUCUGUGGAGAGGAUUCUGCACACCUCUGCAGUCUGGGGCCGCUGGGACUCACCUAAAGAAAUCUUCACUAGAAAAUGAUCCUCACUGAAAAAAAAACCAAAACAACAAACUUUCCUGAUUAACUUUGCCAGGGGGCUGAUCCUGCCUUGGCUACGAACCCUCCCUGCUGGCCGUGCUGUAACUCACCUCUCCUGAGUCCUUUCAUGCGGGUAUCAGUUCCAAACCUCAAAGGGCUCCCGGAGUUUGGAGAAGCAUCCCACGGUCCAGAUGCUUGUCUGAACUGUUGGAGCCUGCACAUCUGGGCCAGCUGUCUUGCCAGCAAGGAGCCUUGUGAGACAGCAGGCGCUCUCUGGGUCUGCAUGGGCCAGAGUUACUGCAAGAACCGGGGUUCUUGUGCUGGCUUUGGA